GACGAACGCUGGCGGCGUGCUUAACACAUGCAAGUCGAACGGAAAGGCCCUGCUUUUGUGGGGUGCUCGAGUGGCGAACGGGUGAGUAACACGUGAGUAACCUGCCCUUGACUUUGGGAUAACUUCAGGAAACUGGGGCUAAUACCGGAUAGGAGCUCCUGCUGCAUGGUGGGGGUUGGAAAGUUUCGGCGGUUGGGGAUGGACUGGCGGCUUAUCAGCUUGUUGGUGGGGUAGUGGCUUACCAAGGCUUUGACGGGUAGCCGGCCUGGGAGGGUGACCGGACACAUUGGGACUGGGAUGCGGCCCAGACUCCUACGGGAGGCAGCAGUGGGGAAUAUUGCACAAUGGGCGGAAGCCUGAUGCAGCAACGCCGCGUGCGGGAUGACGGCCUUCGGGUUGUAAACCGCUUUCGCCUGUGACGAAGCGUGAGUGACGGUAAUGGGUAAAGAAGCACCGGCUAACUACGUG
rnacentral:rRNA from 1 species